UCUCCGUAGGUGAACCUGCGGAGGGAUCAUUACAGAGUUCAUGCCCUACCGGGUAGAUCUCCCACCCUAUGUUAUUAUUACUUUGUUGCUUUGGCGGGCCGUUAGGCUUCGGCCCGACUACCGGCCCCGGCUGGUAAGCGCCCGCCAGAGGACCCAAAACCCUGAAUAUUAGUGUCGUCUGAGUACUAUAUAAUAGUUAAAACUUUCAACAACGGAUCUCUUGGUUCUG
rnacentral:misc_RNA from 1 species